GAACAAGAAACUGAAGAAACAUUCACUACAUGUUUUACAAUGUUUUCUCUUCCAAAAUGCAUUUCUGAAAACAAGUUUUUAUCACUGUUCUUAGCUUUGAAAUCAAAUUAAUCCUGACUUAAUCAGUAUAAUACACAAGAACAGAACAUUUCUUAGGACUCCUAGUACUUUACUUUGAGUAACAAAGGGUCAGAGAAAAUGAGCCACCCUUACAGACACAACCUUGGGUAACACUGUUAUUAAACUUUCCUAGACAAAAAUUCUUCAUAAAAAUUUUCUUCCAGUUCGGAAGGGAAAAAUCAAAUUCCCACUUUCUGGGGUGGACACCCAAAAUCUGCGCAACUCAAGUGUUCUCCAAGUGCAAAUGUCAAAAUGGGGGAGGAAAGGGUUUAAAAAUUAAGAGAAAAUUGUAUGCACUUACGGACUUAAAAAUCCGAAAAAUAGAGUAAAAAGAC
rnacentral:lncRNA from 1 species